AUGUCCAAAUCCAGUCCCCGGCUCCAAUACAGCCUUCCCCUCCAAAAGGGCUGCCGUUCUCACGGAUCGUCUGUCAAGAGCAGCGGCGUGGCACCGGGCACAUCGACAGCAGCCCCACCCAUUCUCAUCAGAGCGCUGUCCAAAGGGAAGCGCUUCAGGAGCAGUUCCCUUUCACUCAGUCCUGCCCGGCGACGGAGGGAGACGCUUUGCUUCAGGACUCCACCGAUUUCCACAGGGAAGCACAAAAUAUCCACGAAUCUCAUCGAAGGAUCCAGAGCGAAUGGCCACGUCUACAAACACCUGCAGGAGGACGAGCCAGCAGACGUGGAGUCCAUGAGAAGGUGUGACUCUGCCGGCGGAAAGACCGGCAUCCUCCUCGGCAGGUCCUCCCUCCCUCACUUCGCAACCAGAAAGGGAUGGACGGAGGUCCCGUGCACCCGUCUGGAUAAGGCCGCUCCCUACCUUCCCCCUUCCCUGCGCACCCGUUCCGUGCCCAUCAUCCCCUCCCUCCAAGCGCGCGACCUCGACGGCGCCGACACGAGCGAGCGGAACCAACGGGAGCUCCCCAAGUGGCACCCCGGGUCGGCUAGAAAGACGGCGGAGGCCCCGGGCGGUUCUCCCUCCCCGCCGCGUGAGGGUGUGGCCGUCGUCGUUGCGCCGCUGCCCCGCUCCUUUGAAAUCCCCGUGGAGCCGGCGCAGGAAUUAAAACAGAAAGGCCUCUCCAGCCCGGCGAAAAUGCCCGGGUCUCAGAGCAAGAUCCACCGCGGCGGCUCGAACACUCCAGAGGCCGCGGCCGCGCGGGAGUCGGAGGGGAAUUGUCCCCGAUAUCCAGCCGGGGCUCCUCGCGCCGGCGGAGGGACCAGAGGUUUGAAGGCAGCGGGCCAGAGAGAAGCCCGGGGUCACUGCCGGGGUCAGACGUCCCACGCGGGCGGAGGCGCGAACUUCUCCCUGGCCGGCAAAGCGCCCGGCUGCAGAGGAGCCGGAGGCGCUCGCGCCAGCCCCUCUGCGAGCUGA
ensembl:lncRNA